UACAGAGGGGGCAAGCGUUAUUCGGAAUUAUUGGGCGUAAAGGGCGCGUAGGCGGCCUGACAAGUGGAAGGUGAAAUCCCUCGGCUCAACUGAGGAACUGCCCUCCAAACUGUUUGGCUUGAGACCGGGAGAGGUGAGUGGAAUUCCCAGUGUAGCGGUGAAAUGCGUAGAUAUUGGGAGGAACACCGGUGGCGAAGGCGGCCCCCUGGACCGGUACUGACGCUGAGGCGCGAAAGCGUGGGUAGCAAACGGG
rnacentral:rRNA from 1 species